rnacentral:rRNA from 1 species
UACGUAGGGUGCAAGCGUUAAUCGGAAUUACUGGGCGUAAAGCGUGCGCAGGCGGUCCGUUAAGAGCAGAUGUGAAAUCCCCGGGCUUAACCUGGGAACUGCAUUUGUGACUGGCGGACUCGAGUAUGGCAGAGGGGGGUAGAAUUCCACGUGUAGCAGUGAAAUGCGUAGAGAUGUGGAGGAAUACCGAUGGCGAAGGCAGCCCCCUGGGCCAAUACUGACGCUCAUGCACG